GUGUUUCAGCUGCCCCCACCCCCACAUCCUGCCCACUCUCCUGCAGCUGCCACCACAUCCUGCCCAGCCGGGGGCAGGGAGCUUCUGUGGGGGUGAUGCACUGACCGAGGACCCGGCUUUGGCACCCCCUCCCUGCCCGCUUCAGCUCCAGGGUGGGCCGUCUGCCCUUUGCCCCAGGCCUGGCCCCAGGCACCCUGGCCCUGAGCUUGGGGCACAACUCUGCCGGUUCAGCCUGACACCUCUCUGCCUGACUCUGCCCUUUCCCCUCAAUUCUGGCCUGAAGUGGGACUUGUGCGGGGUGGUGGGACAGGCCAGACCACAGCCCCAUCCUCAGGCUAGCACAGUUAUCAAUGGACAAAUGAGAUGUUCAAUAAACGUUUUUAUAAUCUGAACUCAGAUGCAUAGCUGCACACACACACGCACACACAAAUA
ensembl:lncRNA novel transcript